AUCUCUACUACUCUAUAUGAAUCUAUUGUAGGCGUUCACAAAAGUGCACCACGGUUCUGCCCCGCGUUCGUCCUCCCUCACGCGCCCUUGCUCAUGCCCCAAACCCGCCCCGCCAUCAGCGCCACCAAAUCCUCGGUCGACACCGCGCCGCCACCAAAUCCUCGCAGAGCGGAGGGGAGUUCACAGGGGCAAGGCGGAGGGGAUCUCGCCCACGGCUGCCCGUGCCCCUGCAGCGUGCCCCCUCCCGUCUCCAACGCGCCCGCCGCCUCCAGCUGCCUGUGCCCCUGCAGCCCUCCCCCACCCCCGCGACGCGCUCUACCCACGCCCGAGCAGGCAGCCGCGGAUCCUACCGGAUCCUGCCCACGCCUGAGCAGGCAGGCGGGGAUCUCGCCCACGCCUCUUUUUCUUUGAUAAUGCGGCUGGCUGACACAUUAGCAGUGCUUCCUUGAUAAAUUCAUUUUGCUAUUAUUUGUAAUUUGCAUAUGAAUUGCCUGCAAGUAUCUGCACCAAUAGCCCAUGAUUUCAGAAAUCAUAUUAAGCAUUUCUAGCUUUACCUUCAUGAUUAAUGAGAUGCUCUAAUUCAUUUUGUUAUUCUUUUUUCUCUAUCUGGAAUUAGUUCAAGAAGCACUUGAUGUCAGUGAGGUAGCCAGAGAAGUAAGGCGACAGAAAGCCAUUGGAAACAUAGUGUUGAUAUGCGUUGGAGCCAUCAUCCAAUUUUCUGCGGUUUCUGUCUCCUUUUUGCCAUUUUAUGUGCAAAGGAUCGCAUGAACUGUAGGCCAGCUAGCAGUGUUGGGUUCUUCUAUUGUGCUUUUGUGCAUUGGACAAGACAAGAAGUUCUUGGGACAAACUGGAGGUUUCAUGUGCCCAUUGGUGCGGGAGUCUGGGGAAGCGAGCUAAGAAAGAGCUCUGUAGAACAGCUUGCAUGACCCAAUCCCUGUAAAGAUCAAGAACUGCAUCGAGCUCAGGGCAAUGAAAAAAGAACAUGUUGAAGAAGUUGACCAGAAGUCAAGCAGCAACCAUGUCGAGAUCAGUGGAUAAAAAAUUCGUUCUGCGCCGCGAUGUCGAGGAACGUGGCGGCUUCGUUGCUGAUCAAGGAGCCGCCGCCGGUGAGGUCGGAGAGGGAGUGGAUGGUGAUGAAGGGGAUGUCAUGUUGGUGAGCGAACAACGUCGCUCUCCAUCUCCACGGGGUGCCUUCAGGCUGCAUGUUGCAAGAUACCCCCAAUGACUGCAAGGUACAACAUAGCAAUUACUCUAUCUCUUGUACUUGGAAGAUUUCAGGUAGGUUUUAUGUUUAGUUGUCUAGCAAAUCCUUGCAGUGAAUUUCCUGUCAUGGCCCAUGUAUACCAGUAUGCAUGACUUUGGUACUUUUUCAGAAAUGCCCAUAUUAAUUCCUGAUAAUUGUAUUGUACUUGCGAUAAUAAUAAGAAUCAUCAUAAUCCUCCGCACGAUGGUAAUAUCGAACAGAAUACUUAGUGUUGUUUAGUCAGAAUACUACCUAUUAACUGAUGUUCUAGAUCUGACACUUCUACCUUGCCUUUUUGUUUAGUUACCUGCUCCAUCCAGGGGAUCAUAUACUUCUAUGGAUUGAGCCCUCUGGGUAUCUUCUUGUCUAUUGUUUAAUUGAUGUGACUUGUCAAAAUUUUGGCACUUUUUUCUUGUUCACCACAAUGAAGAAAAGUAAUUUCAUCCUUGGUUUUGCAUCUGAGCUUUAAUAAUCUUUAAUGUGUAAUCUUAGGGGCUCUAAAGAUCUCUUUUCCCUGUGCCUUGUGAGACAAAGUCCAUCGACUCGACAGAGAAAGCGAUAGUUUGGUUUUGAUGGGCAGAACAAAAGAAAGCUUUACUCGACUACGGAUCGUGUUUGCUAAUCCUGCUCACUUUGCAACUAGAGUGUGUAAGAUUUUACCUACGGCUGAUUGUUUUGUGUAAGCAAAGUUUGUACUAAAACUAAAGAAGUUGUGUGAGUCGACUCUCUAUUUACCGUGUUGGCCCACUAUUUAUGUUGCAGAAGGUUUUCACAUCACAAUUUGUAAAUGGUCUAAAUAGUAUACAUUCAUUUUUAAUGGCAGCAGUCGUGCAACUUGAAUUUA